AUACGGAGGAUCCAAGCGUUAUCCGGAUUUAUUGGGUUUAAAGGGUGCGUAGGCGGACUGGUAAGUCAGCUGUGAAAGUUUGCGGCUUAACCGUAAAAUUGCAGUUGAUACUGUCAGUCUUGAGUGUGCAUGAGGUGGGCGGAAUUUGUGGUGUAGCGGUGAAAUGCUUAGAUAUCACGAGGAACUCCAAUUGCGAAGGCAGCUCACUGGGGCAUAACUGACGCUGAUGCACGAAGGUGUGGGUAUCAAACAGGAUUAGAUACCCUGGUAGUCCACACAGUAAACUAUGAAUACUCGCUGUUUGCGAUAUACAGUAAGCGGCCAAGCGAAAGCAUUAAGUAUUCCACCUGGGGAGUACGCCGGCAACGGUGAAACUCAAAGGAAUUGACGGG
rnacentral:rRNA from 1 species